CCUGGGGCUGCGGGCCCGCGUGCUUGUGCUCAUGUUUCAGCGGCGGCUUCGGCGGGGCCUUGGGGCCGGGCUCGGCCGCGUGCUGCAGGGAAGAAUCAACAUUUAAAGUUUCCGAAAGGAAAUGAAACACGGCAGACGAUGGGUAAGAAAGCCCGCUGAGACCCAACUCCUAAUAGUGCAAACCUACCUUCAGCUGGGAUCCAGAGGUGCCAAUAUCUCAAGAAUUAUUGCAAUAGGAAUGGUCCUGGGACAGCAGAACCAGCUAGCAGACUGAAGCCCAUGCACCACAGCCACCAGCAGCGGGACCUAUGCACCAAGCAGACCCACUCCCUCACAACAUCAGUGUGAGGUAAGAAUGCCCAGAGCUGUGGACAUCAGCAUCCCCAUCACACGUGCUGUCUCCAGGGGCUUGGAAAGGUGGCCAGGUCAGUGUGCUCUGGGGUAAAGCUCAGUGGGCUGGGUCUCAGCUCAAAGGGCCCUGGAGAGUUUUAACCAGAUUAAAAAACUAAAAACCAGUUCAAACUGAUCAGCUGCGCAGUAGGGCGUAAGUGAGCAUCAGCUUCCAUGGGAGUCGGACCCAUUUAUUUCAGGCCCUCAGCCUGGACUUUAACUCAUUAGCAGAAUCCUUUACAUCCAGGGCCCAGACUUGCAUUGGGUGUGGUCUGGUCCUUACGUAGCACCGCAGCCAAGACCCAAACCAGGACCCUGAUGGCCUGGAGUCUGCAGCUCCCCAAGGUGAACCAGUCAGGAAUUCUCGCCUGGACCAAGCUGAUAAGAACUCCCUUGAACUGCUCUUGUCUGCAGUCAUCGCCCUGGCUAGGCUUCUAGGGUCUGCACGGGGCCAGUCUCAGCUAGAAGCUGCCACCCCCUUGUCCAAGCUAGCAGAAGCUCUAGGGGGCUGCUCGUGGCUGGAAGCCCCUUGCUGUUUGUCAAGGCAGUUGGAGCUGUGCUCAGCUGGGGGUCACCUCCUUCUGCAUGGUAUGGGAGCCGUUUUGUAUUGGCCAUAGCUGCAGAUGGCUCUUCGCAGGUCCUGCAAGGGCCUUUCACAAGCUGUUCAAGUGAAAGUAACUAACACUUGCCCCAGUUAUGGCACUUAGUGAAAAGCAGCCUUGGUUGACCACGCAGUGCUUGGCAAGCAAACGAUCCUGAAGGAGUCCAGUUGCAUAGGCUAGUUUGGUGAAAGAAAUGCGUAAAAUAGCCAGGAAAUAGGACACUUUUGAAAAACGGCUGCUUCUUCUGACUGUGACCCCAGCAGGAAGUAUGUUCAAACCCCACUCUGUGACUGGCUCCAUCUCGCACCCUCUGUGUUGUCGCCCAGAGCCCCACACCACGCCGGAGGGUGGAGUCACAGAGCUGACGUGUUCGCUGGCUGGGAAUGAAGGGCUUUACCCUGACAGAUGGCUUGCAUGCUGCCCCACCCACGCACACUGAUGCUGGCCACUGCCCUAGAGGGGAGCCUGUAAAGUGCUGCCCGUCAAAGCAUCACAGAAAUCAAAUCCCCAGAAAUCAAAUCCCAAGAGGAAAAGGCUUGCAGUGAAAACACUCCAUCUUAGCUGGUGACACAACCCGGGAGGGGGCUUGGUCUGCCCCACAUCUUGCCUGUCUGUGUCCCUCUCUCCUGCUGCACUCUCCCUGUCUCUCUCUGCCAUGGUUCAGCAUUUCUCGUUCCUAAAUCCCGCUCAGCUGGUUAACAUGCAGACCUUUCCCCUGGGUUUACCUGGCUCCUCUGACCAUGCCAACAUGCAUGCUCCAGCUGAUGUCCCAGCUACCUUUCAGAAGGAGGCUGACCUGCGAGCUAUUCUUAGCUGUGCUGUAAAAUCCUGGCGCUAUUUUGAUCCCAUCUCUGUACUGUAAGCUGCAGGCUGCUGACAGGCUCUGCACCACCAUGUGUGACAAACACCUUAGUUGUGAACAAGGCUGGAUUGUGACCUUGUGCCUGGGCUUGUCUGCCUUGCCCAGGGCUGCAGGCUCUCCACACCAGGAUCUGGUUUAUGGGCAUUUCAGGAAUGAGCACCACAUGGCUUGGGAAUGACAGAAGCUGGCCGGGGCUCCUGCCAUGCUGUCCUUUGGCCUGCACCGCUUCUGGGACUGCAGAGGGUGCUGCAGAUCCACUGGCCCCAUGCCGAGAGAAGGGUGUUACAUGGAACUCUGUGCAGGAUGGGAGAGGAGAGCCUUGCACAUAGGCUCAUGCUGGUCUGAUGGAACUCUGGUGCCUGGGAGAUCCAGCAGGAAGUGUGCCAGGCAGAGGGCUGGCUGGCCUGAACACUUGUCUCUGAAGGAGGAAGCCUGGUGGGGCUGUGCAGCAAAUGUGGAGCAUGAGCAAUCUGAGUAGGAGUCGGGGGGAGGGGAGAAGCAAGUGGGACUGUAUUUAGCAGAACCACAAGCCAGGAGGAUAGGGGAGAUGAGCUGGCUGAAUGGGGAGCAAAGGAACCCCCUGAAUCAGUGAGAGUGAGUGAGUCAGAUGGGAGGGGAGGAAGCGUGAGGCAGGGAGUGCGGGUCACCCCAAACAACUGCCCCUCCAAUAAGCCCAGGAGGGCCUCAUCUCACCUUUGCUGUUUGCAGGGGACCCUAUAGCCAUUCCACUUUAUAUGGCAGGGAUAGUCAACCUACGGUGGCACAGAAGGUGAUUUUCAGUGGCACUCACACUGCCCAGGUUCUGGCCACCGGUCUGGGGGGCUCUGCAUGUCAAUUUAAUUUUAAGUGAAGUUUCUUAAACAUUUAAAAACCUUAGUUACUUUACAGACAACAAUAGUUAGUUCUAUAUUACAGACUUAUAGAAAGAGACCUUCUAAAAACAUUAAAAUGUAUUA